GCAUGUUUAGACAGAACAGGGGAGGACAAGGUGCCUGACUGGGUGGGAGUGGCAGGAGGGGAAGGCUUCCUGGGAAGAGAAGGGGAGAUGAGUUUUGUGGUGGGGGUGCUGGAAGAAAGCCUAGGCGAGCCCGUCCUUCCUCCCUGCUUUCUCCAAGGUCAUCUGCAUUCAGAGAGGUCACAGCGCCCUCCAAGUACCUUGUGCUCCUAUGAAGAGGGAGCAGCUUUCUGAAAUUUUUAACACCUUUCCAGAUGUGCUGAAGA
rnacentral:lncRNA from 1 species